rnacentral:rRNA from 1 species
AUUGAACGCUGGCGGCAGGCCUAACACAUGCAAGUCGAGCGGGGUUUUCGGACCUAGCGGCGGACGGGUGAGUAAUGCGUAGGAAGCUGCCCGAUAGAGGGGGAUACCAGUUGGAAACGACUGUUAAUACCGCAUAAUGUCUACGGACCAAAGUGUGGGACCUACGGGCCACAUGCUAUCGGAUGCGCCUACGUGGGAUU